rnacentral:tRNA from 1 species
GGAGUUGUAGCUCAGUGGUAGAACACUUGCCUCGCAAGUAUGAAGCACUGGGUUCAAUCCUAGCACCACUA